AUUGAACGCUGGCGGCAGGCCUAACACAUGCAAGUCGAGCGGAUGAAGGGAGCUUGCUCCUGGAUUCAGCGGCGGACGGGUGAGUAAUGCCUAGGAAUCUGCCUGGUAGUGGGGGAUAACGUCCGGAAACGGGCGCUAAUACCGCAUACGUCCUGAGGGAGAAAGUGGGGGAUCUUCGGACCUCACGCUAUCAGAUGAGCCUAGGUCGGAUUAGCUAGUUGGUGGGGUAAAGGCCUACCAAGGCGACGAUCCGUAACUGGUCUGAGAGGAUGAUCAGUCACACUGGAACUGAGACACGGUCCAGACUCCUACGGGAGGCAGCAGUGGGGAAUAUUGGACAAUGGGCGAAAGCCUGAUCCAGCCGUGCCGCGUGUGUGAAGAAGGUUUUCGGAUUGUAAAGCUCUUUAAGUUGGGAGGAAGGGCAGUAAGUUAAUACCUUGCUGCUUUGACGUUACCAACAGAAUAAGCACCGGCUAACUUCGUG
rnacentral:rRNA from 1 species